CGGUCCUACUCUUCAGUCUCAUCUCGCUGGAAUAGUGUUGUCAUGUGUGAAGAUCUACACGAAAUUGAGACUUCUGGCACAGUGGCCUGCACUGUUCGAAGUCUGUAAGAUCAGUGCUGAAUUCAAAAGAAUCACCACAGUUCCCCUGCAAUCCAAGCAACUGUUGCUGAAUUGGCUGAUUUGUACAAGAUGCACCAUUUCUGAGGACUUCUGGCACAGUGGCCUGCACUGUUCAAAGUUCGCAAGGUAAGACAUUCAAUUCGGAUUGUCUUUAAUGUUUUUAUUUGUGAAUUACAGCGUUUUAUCUCCUUUCUUGAAUGUGUGUGUGGCUUUCUCCUAAUGUUAAUGAUUUGAUUGUUAAAUCCUUUGGGCUCUUUAUGUCUUUUCAGAUCAGUGCUGAAUUGAAAAGAAUCACCACAGUCCCACUGCAAUUGCCUGCACUGUUCGAAGUCCACAAGGUAAAGCAUUCACUUUGGCCACAACCCUACCCAGUGCACCUUAACAACUUGACUCCUGCUUUAAAUUAGCUGUUACCUGAAUGGGGGUGACUAAAUAUUCCAGUGGUAUAAGGAGCUGCUUCUCGAAUUUUUAUAUUUAAAUUUUGUCGUACUCUGACCAGUGAAUAUUAGAUUAUUGCUUAGUACUAGAAUUGGAGUUAUCUGAGACAAGAUGAUCUGAUCUGAGAAGUGUUGAUGACUACCUCCCUGGUGUUCCCACGCUCAGUGUGGAGUGUGACACUAGUUUGUAUGCAUUGUGCUAUGCUCAACAUGACAUUGAGAGGCUUCAGUUGAAAGUGAGCAAGCUAUCCCACGGUUUCCUUAUUUCAAUACACUUGCUACACAA